AUGAAGCCGGAAUCGCUAGUAAUCGCGGAUCAGAAUGCCGCGGUGAAUACGUUCCCGGGUCUUGUACACACCGCCCGUCACACCAUGGGAGUCGGAAAUGCCCGAAGCCGGUGACCCAACCCGAAAGGGAGGGAGCCGCCGAAGGCAGGUCGGAUGAUGGGGUGAAGUCGUAACAAGGUACC
rnacentral:rRNA from 1 species